ACGAACGCUGGCGGCGUGCUUAACACAUGCAAGUCGAGCGGAAAGGCCACUUCGGUGGUACUCGAGCGGCGAACGGGUGAGUAACACGUGAGUAAUCUGCCCUUCACUUGGGGAUAACCUCCGGAAACGGUGGCUAAUACCCGAUACGACCAUUCCUCGCAUGAGGUGGUGGUGGAAAGUUUUUCGGUGGGGGAUGUGCUCGCGGCCUAUCAGCUUGUUGGUGGGGUAAUGGCCUACCAAGGCUUCGACGGGUAGCCGGCCUGAGAGGGUGACCGGCCACACUGGGACUGAGACACGGCCCAGACUCCUACGGGAGGCAGCAGUGGGGAAUAUUGGACAAUGGGCGGAAGCCUGAUCCAGCAACGCCGCGUGAGGGAUGACGGCCUUCGGGUUGUAAACCUCUUUCAGUACCGACGAAGCGAAAGUGACGGUAGGUACAGAAGAAGCACCGGCCAACUACGU
rnacentral:rRNA from 1 species